ACCUGAACAACAAGACAAAAAUGAAUUAUAUAUGUAGAUUUUGAAAUUUAACAAAGACCAAGAUGUGAAGAGACUUUAAGCACCAACCUGAACAACAAGACAAAAAUGAAUUAUAUAUGUAGAUUUUGAAAUUUAACAAAGACCAAGAUGUGAAGAGACUUUUAGCACCAACCUGAACAACAAAACAAACAUGAAUUAUAUAUGUAGAUUUUGAAAUUUAACAAAGACCAAGAUGUGAAGAGACUUUUAGCACCAACCUGAACAACAAAACAAACAUGAAUUAUAUAUGUAGAUUUUGAAAUUUAACAAAGACCA